rnacentral:lncRNA from 1 species
AUGUGCGAUUGUGUGGUUUGUUCCCGACCUUGUCGGUCAAAAGCAGAUUCGGGUCUCGAAACACUUGUGAAACGCCUUAGUCACGUGACAUGGGUGUUUCGAAUCACACUUCGUUCGGAGCAGUGUUUCGAAAACAUCUGCGCUUCGGGAUCUCGACGCCGUGUCGAAACGGUAGUUUCACGUCAUCAAUCCCUAGUUUUAACUGCGUAUAUUAUAUUAUUUUUAUUGCAAAGUUAUGUAACCCAUUGCUAUUAUUACUUUAAUUACCUUUACAAUUUACCUGUUUUAAUGUCACUGCUUUUUAUCGCCCAUGCAAAGACGAAGCAGACAUACCAUGGUACUACACUUCCCAAAAUGCACAUAGCACGGAAAAGCCGCCAGCCGCUGCAGCCAGCGCUCAAUGAACAAAGUGAAUCACAGUCGCGAGCUCCUGCAGCGCUGCGCGAGGACAGAGCACAUCACUGCACGCGCGUUCGGAAAAGAUGGAAAAAUAAGGCGAGUAUCGUUAAGGUAUAAGAUGUUUGAUAAACACAGUCCCCAUACCUUCCAGCCUGCCUCUCAGGGUGGAGUAUUUACUACAGAUAUGCUCCACUAGCCACAGUCAUUUGUGUCAGUAUGGAGACCGCCACAGGAAGUGAGGUUGUAGGUGCAGAAGGGGGUCCACAGUCAGACUCCGUUUCCCAUGACAGCCCUCAACCUCAGUCACCCCCUUCUGUGAAAAUACGGAAGGCGGCUUUUAGGUUUUUUGGUGGUCGGAAGAGCAUCUGUGUUCUGCCCAGCUUUUUCGGUGGCCGUAGCAGAAGAAAGGGGUCAUCAAAAACAGGUGUUACGAAGAGCCAAACAUACGAUGGGGUGAGCAGAGCAUGCUGGGAAGAUUUGGGUAGAGGUAGCAGUGAAGCUGCCUCAGGGGACUUUGAGUUUUGUGCCUCCAGUGACCCUCAGAAAUCACAGGAGGAUCACGGGAAGUCUCAGUCUCUACCACGACAGCGCAGAGGCCUUCGGGGGCUUUUCAGCAGCAUUCGGAGACACAAGGAAAAACAAAAAUGUUGAACUAG